rnacentral:rRNA from 1 species
GAUGAACGCUGGCGGCGUGCCUAAUACAUGCAAGUCGAGCGAACAGACGAGGAGCUUGCUCCUCUGACGUUAGCGGCGGACGGGUGAGUAACACGUGGAUAACCUACCUAUAAGACUGGGAUAACUUCGGGAAACCGGAGCUAAUACCGGAUAAUAUAUUGAACCGCAUGGUUCAAUAGUGAAAGACGGUUUUGCUGUCACUUAUAGAUGGAUCCGCGGCGCAUUAGCUAGUUGGUAAGGUAACGGCUUACCAAGGCAACGAUGCGUAGCCGACCUGAGAGGGUGAUCGGCCACACUGGAACUGAGACACGGUCCAGACUCCUACGGGAGGCAGCAGUAGGGAAUCUUCCGCAAUGGGCGAAAGCUUGACGGAGCAACGCCGCGUGAGUGAUGAAGGUCUACGGAUCGUAAAACUCUGUUAUUAGGGAAGAACAAAUGUGUAAGUAACUAUGCACGUCUUGACGGUACCUAAUCAGAAAGCCACGGCUAACUACGUG